AACAAGGACUUUAUCUACCAAAAUGGCUAGCCUUGAUUCAGGCUACUCCUCUGCUUGGAAGGCAAAAUACAUCGGCAGAGAAGUGAAAGGAGAAAUUAAACCCAGCAGGAACACAGAAUGUGACACUUACCUUUUCUGAUUUUGUAAGGGGUGGAAGAUAUCAAGCAGUAACGAGGUGAAUUCCCCAGCAGGUACAACGGAGCAACAAUCCGCAGCGCGCGGAAGACGAGGGUGUGCUCUUUAGCCUGGUUGUACAACUGUUACGAGAAAGUUCCUUUUUCGAAUCGGGGAAUUAACUGACGUUUCUUGGGAAGACACUGAAUGCAGACAAAUGCAAUGAAAUUAACCUCUCCUUCCAAGAACAGCAUGCAGGCAGCUAGCUGGAAAGACUCACACUUGAGUGAAUAGCGACAGCUCGCCCCUUCUGCGCUUUGACGCUGCUGUCUC
rnacentral:lncRNA from 1 species